rnacentral:rRNA from 1 species
GGAUAACCUUGCCCUUGGGUCCGGCAUAACCCCGGGAAACUGGGGAUAAUUCCGGAUAACGCACAUAUGCUGGAAUGCUUUAUGCGUCAAAUGGAUUUCGUCUGCCCAAAGGAUGGGUCUGCGGCCUAUCAGGUAGUAGUGGGUGUAAUGUACCUACUAGCCGACGACGGGUACGGGUUGUGAGAGCAAGAGCCCGGAGAUGGAUUCUGAGACAUGAAUCCAGGCCCUACGGGGCGCAGCAGGCGCGAAAACUUUACAAUGCGGGAAACCGUGAUAAGGGGACACCGAGUGCCAGCGUCAUACGCUGGCUGUCCAGGUGUGUAAAAUACACCUGUUAGCAAGGGCCGGGCAAGACCGGUGCCAGCCGCCGCGGUAACACCGGCGGCCCGAGUGGUGAUCGUGAUUAUUGGGUCUAAAGGGUCCGUAGCCGGUUUGGUCAGUCCUCCGGGAAAUCUGAUAGCUCAACUGUUAGGCUUUCGGGGGAUACUGCCAGACUUGGAACCGGGAGAGGUAAGAGGUACUACAGGGGUAGGAGUGAAAUCUUGUAAUCCCUGUGGGACCACCUGUGGCGAAGGCGUCUUACCAGAACGGGUUCGACGGUGAGGGACGAAAGCUGGGGGCACGAACCGGAUUAGAUACCCGGGUAGUCCCAGCCGUAAACGAUGCUCGCUAGGUGUCAGGCAUGGCGCGACCGUGUCUGGUGCCGCAGGGAAGCCGUGAAGCGAGCCACCUGGGAAGUACGGCCGCAAGGCUGAAACUUAA